GUGGCGGACGGGUGAGUAACGCGUGGGUAACCUGCCUUGUACUGGGGGACGAACAGUUGGAAACGACUGCUAAUACCGCAUAAGCGCACAGCUUCGCAUGAAGCAGUGUGAAAAACUCCGGUGGUACAAGAUGGACCCGCGUCUGAUUAGCUGGUUGGUGAGGUAACGGCCCACCAAGGCAACGAUCAGUAGCCGGCCUGAGAGGGUGAACGGCCACAUUGGGACUGAGACACGGCCCAAACUCCUACGGGAGGCAGCAUG
rnacentral:rRNA from 1 species